AUUGAACGCUGGCGGCAUGCCUUACACAUGCAAGUCGAACGGCAGCACGGGUGCUUGCACCUGGUGGCGAGUGGCGAAAGGGUGAGUAAUACAUCGGAACAUGUCCUGUAGUGGGGGAUAGCCCGGCGAAAGCCGGAUUAAUACCGCAUACGAUCUACGGAUGAAAGCGGGGGACCUUCGGGCCUCGCGCUAUAGGGUUGGCCGAUGGCUGAUUAGCUAGUUGGUGGGGUAAAGGCCGACCAAGGCGACGAUCAGUAGCUGGUCUGAGAGGACGACCAGCCACACUGGGACUGAGACACGGCCCAGACUCCUACGGGAGGCAGCAGUGGGGAAUUUUGGACAAUGGGCGAAAGCCUGAUCCAGCAAUGCCGCGUGUGUGAAGAAGGCCUUCGGGUUGUAAAGCACUUGUGUCCGGAAAGAAAUCCUUGGCUCUAAUACAGUCGGGGGAUGACGGUACCGGAAGAAUAAGCACCGGCUAACUACGUG
rnacentral:rRNA from 1 species